GAACUGUAGCUCAAUGGUAGAGCGCUUCCCACAAGGAAGUAGUUGCGGGUUCGACCCCCGUCAGUUCCA
rnacentral:tRNA from 1 species